rnacentral:rRNA from 1 species
UUAGCGGCGGACGGGUGAGUAACACGUGGGUAACCCUGCCUGUAAGACUGGGAUAACUUCCGGGAAACCGGAGCUAAUACCGGAUAGUUCCCUUGAACCGCAUGGUUCAAGGAUGAAAGACGGUUUCGGCUGUCACUUACAGAUGGACCCGCGGCGCAUUAGCUAGUUGGUGGGGUAAUGGCUCACCAAGGCGACGAUGCGUAGCCGACCUGAGAGGGUGAUCGGCCACACUGGGACUGAGACACGGCCCAGACUCCUACGGGAGGCAGCAGUAGGGAAUCUUCCGCAAUGGACGAAAGUCUGACGGAGCAACGCCGCGUGAGUGAUGAAGGUUUUCGGAUCGUAAAGCUCUGUUGUUAGGGAAGAACAAGUGCGAGAGUAACUGCUCGCACCUUGACGGUACCUAACCAGAAAGCCACGGCUAACUACGUGCCAGCAGCCGCGGUAAUACGUAGGUGGCAAGCGUUGUCCGGAAUUAUUGGGCGUAAAGGGCUCGCAGGCGGUUUCUUAAGUCUGAUGUGAAAGCCCCCGGCUCAACCGGGGAGGGUCAUUGGAAACUGGGAAACUUGAGUGCAGAAGAGGAGAGUGGAAUUCCACGUGUAGCGGUGAAAUGCGUAGAGAUGUGGAGGAACACCAGUGGCGAAGGCGACUCUCUGGUCUGUAACUGACGCUGAGGAGCGAAAGCGUGGGGAGCGAACAGGAUUAGAUACCCUGGUAGUCCACGCCGUAAACGAUGAGUGCUAAGUGUUAGGGGGUUUCCGCCCCUUAGUGCUGCAGCUAACGCAUUAAGCACUCCGCCUGGGGAGUACGGUCGCAAGACUGAAACUCAAAGGAAUUGACGGGGGCCCGCACAAGCGGUGGAGCAUGUGGUUUAAUUCGAAGCAACGCGAAGAACCUUACCAGGUCUUGACAUCCUCUGACAACCCUAGAGAUAGGGCUUUCCCUUCGGGGACAGAGUGACAGGUGGUGCAUGGUUGUCG